GACGAACGCUGGCGGCGUGCCUAACACAUGCAAGUCGAGCGGGGAUUUAAGUGGAAGUUCUUCGGAAUGGAGAUUUAAAUUCUAGCGGCGGACGGGUGAGUAACGCGUGAACAAUCUGUCCCGGACAGGGGGAUAACACUUGGAAACAGGUGCUAAUACCGCAUAAGACCACGGCCUCGCAUGUGGCUGAGGUAAAAGGAGCAAUCCGGUUCGGGGUGAGUUCGCGUCCGAUUAGCUAGUUGGUGAGGUAACGGCCCACCAAGGCGACGAUCGGUAGCCGGCCUGAGAGGGUGAACGGCCACAUUGGAACUGAGAGACGGUCCAAACUCCUACGGGAGGCAGCAGUGGGGAAUAUUGGGCAAUGGGCGAAAGCCUGACCCAGCAACGCCGCGUGAGGGAAGAAGGUUUUCGGAUUGUAAACCUCUGUCCUAUGGGACGAGGGAAGUGACGGUACCAUAGGAGGAAGCCCCGGCUAACUACGUG
rnacentral:rRNA from 1 species